GGCUGGUCCAAAGGUAGUGAGUUAUCUCACUUGAUUGUUCACAGUCAGUUACAGAUUGAACUCUUUGUUCUGCUCUUUCCUUCCCUCACAGUACUCUACUCGAUUAGUCUAAA
rnacentral:Y_RNA from 1 species